UGGUAGUGUAUUGGACAACCAUGGCAGUCACGGGUAACGGAGAAUUAGGGUUCGAUUCCGGAGAGGGAGCCUGAGAAACGGCUACCACAUCUACGGAAGGCAGCAGGAGCGAAAAUUGCCCAAUCCCGACACGGGGAGGCAGUGACGAGAAAUAACAACUCUUGGUUAUUCUAAGAAGUGUAAUGAGGAUAAUUUAAAACCCUUACCGAAAGCAAUUGGAGGGCAAGUCUGGUGCCAGCAGCCGCGGUAAUUCCAGCUCCAAUAGCGUAUAUUAAAGUUGUUGCAGUUAAAAAGCUCGUAGUUGAAGUUCUGGCUGAUCGAUCCUCGAGCUCUGUAGCCGAGGACUCGUCAGUCAUCCGCUUGCAAAUAUAUGUUCGCCUUUAACCGGGUGGCUAUAUGAGUAAGCAAUUUACCUUGAGAAAAACAGAGUGUUCCAGGCAGGUUUGUCCGGAAUGCAUUAGCAUGGAAUAAUAGAAUAUGACUGAAGUCGAUUUAUUGGUUUGAUGCUUUAGUAAUGAUUAAUAGGAACAGUCGGGGGCAUUGGUACUUGUCAGUCAGAGGUGAAAUUCUAGGAUUUGACAAAGACUAACAAAUGCGAAAGCAUUUGCCAAGGAUGUUUUCAUUAAUCAAGAACGAAAGUUAGGGGAUCAAAGACAAUCAGA
rnacentral:rRNA from 1 species